CCUACGGGUGGCAGCAGUGGGGAAUAUUGGACAAUGGGGGGAACCCUGAUCCAGCCAUGCCGCGUGUGUGAAGAAGGCCCUCGGGUUGUAAAGCACUUUCAGUGAGGAAGAACGCCUGGUGGUUAAUACCCAUCAGGAAAGACAUCACUCACAGAAGAAGCACCGGCUAACUCCGUGCCAGCAGCCGCGGUAAUACGGGGGUGCGAGCGUUAAUCGGAAUUACUGGGCGUAAAGCGCGCGUAGGUGGCUUGAUAAGCCGGUUGUGAAAGCCCCGGGCUCAACCUGGGAACGGCAUCCGGAACUGUCAAGCUAGAGUGCAGGAGAGGAAGGUAGAAUUCCCGGUGUAGCGGUGAAAUGCGUAGAGAUCGGGAGGAAUACCAGUGGCGAAGGCGGCCUUCUGGACUGACACUGACACUGAGGUGCGAAAGCGUGGGUAGCAAACAGGAUUAGAUACCCUAGUAGUC
rnacentral:rRNA from 1 species